GGUGUCCUAGGAUCCCGAAUUAGGUAGUUUGAUGCUCUCCUGUGCUUGGCGAUGUAAUUUUCACCUUUGGGCUUGAAUGAAUUGACUGAAUUCAAAAAAAAAAAUUUUUUUUUUAUUAUGCUAGUAUUUUUGUUUCCUAGCAAGUAGCAAGCAGACUUGAUAUCGUGAAUGUCUUCACUAAGGGUGGGUGGCCCAUUGUUAGGCUCAUUUUUUCCCUCCAAAACUUAUAAUUUAUUAUCCAUUUCUAAACGUUACAUAUAUACAUAAAAACAUUGAUCUCUUCUUAUGGGUACUGUGAAUACAUUACUAAUGAUAUUAAUUUGGUAAAUGUUAAACAAGUACAUCAUAAGUUACGUGUAUUUGAAAAUUGUUCCUCAUUUCUCAAUGGUUCUCCAUAUAUGGACAAAUUAAACUUGAUUCUUCAUUUCGAAGAAUUAAAAUGAAGCACGGUUGGAGAGUUUGUAUUCUCGUUUAAUGGAGAUGCUCCAAUAGGUGCGAUUUUUUUUACAUGGUUAAUGCUCUCAAUGAGUUAUAAACAUGAACAAUUUUGAUCUUUAUGACCCCCAAAAGACCCACAGCUGCCAAAACCGAAAGGUCCAGUUCCCAAAAAGGGACUUAGGGGCCCUGUUGUGCUUUGAGUUCGGGCUCACGGGUUAGAACUGGACAUGAACAACAAUUAUGUAAGAAAAUCAAGUCAAUCGCACAUCAUUAACCCAGCAAACAAAUCUCGUUUUUUUUUUCUCUUCAAAAUAACAGCAAAUCCUAUUUCAAAAAAUACACAGUAAUUUUAUUUGAUUUGAUCAGUAAGAUAUCCGAUCGACUUGAUUUUUUUCAGCAUUUUUGUUUGUUUACCUUUAAACAGUGAGCAUUUAGCUCUAACAGUGAAGGGUUCGGAUUAUGUUUUUGAGGUCGGACGAGAGAGGGCACAACAGAGCCCUUAGUCCCCCAAAAAGAUCCAUCUCCUUCCAAAAAAAAAAAAAAAAGCAGAAGAUUCUUCAGACUAUUUGUAGGUGAACGAUCACUGUGAGAUUCCAUUUUCAAAGGAAACUUCCAUCAUUCCAGGUUUCUUUCCCAUGAAGAUUGCAAAUGAUUUCCUCAAAUGGUUGUCUUUCAUUCGAGACUCAUUACUACUCCAGGAUCAGUUAUUCCUUUCACUGAUGAAAUGGACUUGGGAGUAUAGAAUUGAAUACCAGAUUCCUAAAGUUAAAGGUUAAAAGGGGUAGAUUCUCUGGCAAUUUGGUACCUCUCUCUCUCUCUCUCUCUCUCUGUGAGGUAGCAAUGACGAUGUUGUCAUUCUCCCCUUUUGGGGUACUUCGAUUAUUUGAGGUACCUUUCUCCUUCAUUGGAGGAGAGAAAGCAAAAGUCCAAAUCUUUUUUGACCAUUUGCCCAGGAAAGAGACCCCUGGCUAACGAAUUUGAUUCCCAUAGCUUUCAUCUGGAUUCUGUAGCUCAAGGAACGAACUAAAAGGGGGACUGUUAUCUUACCCAACCUCAAUUUCCAAAAAGUGAACGAUUGUUAAACGAACACGAGGGGUCCUCGGGUUUCAAACCCAAGGUCCCCCAUUCGAGUCUCUGAGGGCUAGCCAAGCCAUCUGAGGCAUUGUGCUUAGGUCGUUUGUUCGCCUAACUCAAACGUACGUUGGUUACCCGCCAAGGGAGCAAUGACGUUGGCUACUUGCUAACAUGGUCUGGUCUCAUGAACCCGUAAAGUCGUGCUUGUAAGAUAAGAAUGGAUUUGGUAAAUUGAGCUGAGAAAAAACUAUUAUUUAGGGAAUAAAAGUAUACUAAACUACUCACAUAUGCUAAGGGGAGAAAGAGCCCAAGGAAAUUUGCAAUUUGAGAAACUACAAACACAACCCAUGAAGGAAAACCGUAAUCGCCUAAUCGAAUUUUCCUUCGCUGUUAAAGUACUCUCACCCUCCAUUUCUCUGUAAAGAGUCGCUCUGAAACUAAAUGGAUUUGCCAAUUCAGUUCCAAAAAAGCAGAAGGAAACAUAGUAAGGGUAUGCCUCAAGAAAAAUGAACACAAUCAUCAGACUAAUGAGGCUAUCGCUAAAGUCGUGUCCUUGCAACUACUAUUGUGAAUGAUGGCCACAGCCCACCAUCCGGUAGUAAGAGUCGUUAACCGUAUGCUUCCGAUGAGACAUUACUCGAAAUCAACAAUACGAAGUGAAUACAAAUUAGACAAGAAAAUAAGAACGAAUAUGAAUAGUAAAUGAGACAUUGUCCCAAAAUCCUCUGCAGAAGAUUAAUGUUUAAUCUAACAGGAGUGAAAGAAUAUAACCCGCAAAAUCCACCAAAUGAUUAAUUUUCUAGAAAACAUAGGCAUAUGGUGGGCUGGUUAUGCAGCCCUAGCACAUUAUACAGUUCUAUGUCUAUGAGAUGAAAAUCAACAUGCCAGCAAGAGAUCAAAAGGACUCACACUAUGCUGUCCCAAUUUUAGCAGUGGAAAUAGUAUGAAGAAUCAAGAACUAAGAUGCUGUCAAUACCCUAAAAAGAUUGCACAAAAGGGAAAACGAAAACUGAGCGAGAACCCACCGCGGUUUCAUAACUAAGACUAGAUACGUUUUGACAUCCAAAAAACAUGAAGCAAGUGGCUAAUAUGGCAUACCAUGAAACCAAUAUGGCCUACACAAAAAAAAGAUCAUUGCAAAAAGUAGAGAGGCACACAACAUAGUUUAUCAGUUCAAAACUAGAAGCAUCAAACACAUCUCUGCUGCUUCUGAAGUCCGUACAAACUUUUGAAGCAGAAUCGACGAAAAAAGGAGGAAAAGUAAGUUACCGAAAAAUCAUAAAUAGAUUCCAGUCAAAUACAGUAAUACAUAAAAAUCAGAAUGAACAAGAAACAUCAAGUUGUGAGAGCAGAGAGUAUCAUAGCCUAUAGGGAACGCCAAUAAAUAUACCCAACAAAAAAUGCUUUCUGUGUCUCGCUAAGAUUCUUUUUCUUUUUCUUUUUAAGUGCUUAUUUUCCACCUUACAAGACAUGUCGUUCUCUUACAAUAUAUCACAUUCAAUUCAACAAAAAAAACUUAUUUUUCUUAGCAGAAUGGGCCUGACCCACCCACAAUCAUACAUACGCAGAUAUGCAUCCAUGUGAUAACAUUCCAGAGUUUAAACAUCAUUAGUUUCAGCUACUAAAUCUAAUCAACAGGCAAGUAGAGCGGUAGCCUAGUGAUAGGCGAUAGGCACCAUGUACUUUCGUACAUUUGAUUGAAUAUUGCCGAGCCAAAAAAAAACACUAACAGAAGUACCAGUCAUCUAACAAUUUUCCAGGUUACUACUACUAAAAAUUGUUGAGUGCAUGUGAGCGUAAUUGUGCAUACAUGUGCAUGUACGUGUAGGGAGAGAGAGAAGGGUGAGCGCUGGAUGCAGAGGUUUAUCGACCGAUUCCUGAUCUGUAUGUGGACAAACGAGAUCAGGGAACAGAUCGAUGAACCGCUGCGUCCAGUGACCUCAACCAUCUUAAACUUCUUAGCCUAACCAGUUGAAACCAAAAAAUAAAAUAAAAUAAAAUAAAACAAAACGAGCCCCCUGAACAAGAAACUAGAAUCGAAUCAAACUAGUCGAGCACAAAAUAAGGUCGGACGAGGGAAGGAAACCCGAACAGAUCUAAGCUUCCGCGAGACUUUCUAUAUACUCUAAUUACAAGAACUAAUUAAUAGAACUAGAGAAGCCAUUGAAAUAGAGAUCAGUGACCUUAAAUAUCUGACAGAUCUUAUUUCCGAUCUUGAGAGAGAGAGAGAGAG